rnacentral:rRNA from 1 species
UCGAACGGAGAUCUUGAAUAGCUUGCUAAUUGAGAUCUUAGUGGCGGACGGGUUAGUAGCACGUGAGAACCUACCCUUUAGACAGGAAUAGCCCAUGGAAACGUGGAUUAAUGCCUGAUAGUCUCUACGGAGUAAAUGGUGCCUUCUGGUAUCGCUAGAGGAUGGGCUCGCGGCCUAUCAGCUUGUUGGUGAGGUAAAGGCUCACCAAGGCGACGACGGGUAGCUGGUCUGAGAGGACGAUCAGCAACACUGGAACUGAGACACGGUCCAGACACCUACGGGUGGCAGCAGUCGAGAAUCAUUCACAAUGGAGGCAACUCUGAUGGUGCAACGCCGCGUGGAGGAUGACGGUCCUAGGAUUGUAAACUCCUGUCAUUGGGGAGUAAGACUUAAGCGUUAAGAGCGUUUAAGUUUGAUAGUACCCAAAGAGGAAGGGACGGCUAACUUCGUGCCAGCAGCCGCGGUAAUACGAAGGUCCCAAGCGUUGUUCGGAAUCACUGGGCGUAAAGCGUGUGUAGGCUGCGCGGAAAGUCAAAUGUGAAAGCCCGGGGCUCAACCUCGGAACUGCAUUCGAUACUCCCGUGCUAGAGUAAUGGAGAGGUAAGUGGAAUUCCUGGUGUAGCAGUGAAAUGCGUGGAUAUCAGGAGGAACAUCAAUGGCGAAGGCAACUUACUGGACAUUUACUGACGCUCAGACACGAAGGCUAGGGUAGCGAAAGGGAUUAGAU